rnacentral:rRNA from 1 species
GUCAAGUCAUCAUGGCCCUUACGUCCGGGGCUACACACGUGCUACAAUGGGCGGUACAACGGGCAGCCACCACGCGAGUGGGCGCCAAUCCCGAAAAGCCGUUCACAGUUCGGAUUGGGGCCUGCAACUCGGCCCCAUGAAGUUGGAUUCGCUAGUAAUCGCGCAUCAGCAAUGGCGCGGUGAAUACGUUCCCGGGCCUU